UUUUUUUUUUUUUUUUUUUGAAGAAUGAAAGAUACAUAACUUUAGUUAUGAUUCCACAUUGCUGAUCCAAUAUGUGCAUGCUGUUUUCUUCUAACAAUUGGACAUGCAUAUAAAAAUGUAUUUGGACUUGAUUGGGAUGGCGUUAGAGAAAUGGAAGGGAGUCGAAAUAAGGGGGGUGUUGUGGAGAUUGUUAGCUUACUUGCAGGGAGUCAAACUGGGUUUUCCUUUUGGGGCCGCUUGUGUUGAAUAAUUUUGAAGAGUUAAUGUGAAUGAUAAAGGAAUUGUUUUGAGUUAUCCAGGGAAAAAAAAAAAUACUGCCUUGCCUUAAAGAGGUGGUGACUGUUUCUAUUUGGCUUGAUUCUUAGAAAUUAUUCAGACAUUCAUUAUUUCCUUUGAACAUCUCUCUCUCUCCCUCUCUCUCU
rnacentral:misc_RNA from 1 species